CCUACGGGUGGCAGCAGUGGGGAAUUUUGGACAAUGGGCGCAAGCCUGAUCCAGCCAUGCCGCGUGCGGGAAGAAGGCCUUCGGGUUGUACCCUUUAGAACUGAUUCUCACGGUACCUGAAGAAUAAGCACCGGCUAACUACGUGCCAGCAGCCGCGGUAAUACGUAGGGUGCAAGCGUUAAUCGGAAUUACUGGGCGUAAAGCGUGCGCAGGCGGUUCUAUAAGACAGAUGUGAAAUCCCCGGGCUCAACCUGGGAACUGCAUUUGUGACUGUAGAGCUCGAGUGCGGCAGAGGGGGAUGGAAUUCCGCGUGUAGCAGUGAAAUGCGUAGAUAUGCGGAGGAACACCGAUGGCGAAGGCAAUCCCCUGGGCCUGACUGACGCUCAUGCACGAAAGCGUGGGGAGCAAACAGGAUUAGAUACCCUUGUAGUC
rnacentral:rRNA from 1 species